AUACGGAGGAUCCGAGCGUUAUCCGGAUUUAUUGGGUUUAAAGGGUGCGCAGGCGGCCAUUUAAGUCAGCGGUUAAAUCGUGGGGCUCAACCCCAUUCUGCCGUUGAUACUGGGUGGCUUGAUUGCGGUCGAGGUUGGCGGAAUUUGUUGUGUAGCGGGGGAAUGCAUAGAUAUGACGAAGAACACCGAUUGCGUAGGCAGCUGACCAGACCGCAAAUGACGCUCAUGCACGAAAGUGCGGGGAUCGAACAGGAUUAGAUACCCUGGUAGUCCGCACAGUAAACGAUGAAUACUUGUUUUCGGCGAUAUAAUGUCGGAGGCAAAGCGAAAGCGAUAAGUAUUCCACCUGGGGAGUACGCCGGCAACGGUGAAACUCAAAGGAAUUGACGGGG
rnacentral:rRNA from 1 species